rnacentral:rRNA from 1 species
GGAAUUUUGGACAAUGGGCGCAAGCCUGAUCCAGCAAUGCCGCGUGAGUGAAGAAGGCCUUCGGGUUGUAAAGCUCUUUUGUCAGGGAAGAAACGGUGGACUCUAAUACAGAUCACUAAUGACGGUACCUGAAGAAUAAGCACCGGCUAACUACGUGCCAGCAGCCGCGGUAAUACGUAGGGUGCAAGCGUUAAUCGGAAUUACUGGGCGUAAAGCGUGCGCAGGCGGUUGUGCAAGACAGAUGUGAAAUCCCCGGGCUCAACCUGGGAAUUGCAUUUGUGACUGCACGGCUAGAGUGUGUCAGAGGGGGGUAGAAUUCCACGUGUAGCAGUGAAAUGCGUAGAGAUGUGGAGGAAUACCGAUGGCGAAGGCAGCCCCCUGGGAUAACACUGACGCUCAUGCACGAAAGCGUGGGGAGCAAACAGGAUUAGAUACCCUUG